GACGAACGCUGGCGGCGCGCCUAACACAUGCAAGUCGAACGGACGAAGGGAGCUUGCUCCCCGAGUUAGUGGCGGACGGGUGAGUAACACGUGAGCAACCUGCCUUUCAGAGGGGGACAACAGUUGGAAACGACUGCUAAUACCGCAUAACGUGGCUUGGGGGCAUCCCCGGGCUACCAAAGAUUUAUCGCUGAAAGAUGGGCUCGCGUCUGAUUAGAUAGUUGGUGAGGUAACGGCCCACCAAGGCGACGAUCAGUAGGGGUCCUGAGAGGAAGGUCCCCCACAUUGGAACUGAGACACGGUCCAAACUCC
rnacentral:rRNA from 1 species